rnacentral:rRNA from 1 species
UACGUAGGUGGCAAGCGUUGUCCGGAAUUAUUGGGCGUAAAGCGCGCGCAGGCGGCUUCUUAAGUCCAUCUUAAAAGUGCGGGGCUUAACCCCGUGAUGGGAUGGAAACUGGGAGGCUGGAGUAUCGGAGAGGAAAGUGGAAUUCCUAGUGUAGCGGUGAAAUGCGUAGAGAUUAGGAAGAACACCGGUGGCGAAGGCGACUUUCUGGACGACAACUGACGCUGAGGCGCGAAAGCGUGGGGAGUAAACAGG